UGCUAUACAUGCAAGUCGAGCGAACGGACGAGAAGCUUGCUUCUCUGAUGUUAGCGGCGGACGGGUGAGUAACACGUGGAUAACCUACCUAUAAGACUGGGAUAACUUCGGGAAACCGGAGCUAAUACCGGAUAAUAUUUUGAACCGCAUGGUUCAAAAGUGAAAGACGGUCUUGCUGUCACUUAUAGAUGGAUCCGCGCUGCAUUAGCUAGUUGGUAAGGUAACGGCUUACCAAGGCAACGAUGCAUAGCCGACCUGAGAGGGUGAUCGGCCACACUGGAACUGAGACACGGUCCAGACUCCUACGGGAGGCAGCAGUAGGGAAUCUUCCGCAAUGGGCGAAAGCCUGACGGAGCAACGCCGCGUGAGUGAUGAAGGUCUUCGGAUCGUAAAACUCUGUUAUUAGGGAAGAACAUAUGUGUAAGUAACUGUGCACAUCUUGACGGUACCUAAUCAGAAAGCCACGGCUAACUACGUGCCAGCAGCCGCGGUAAUACGUAGGUGGCAAGCGUUAUCCGGAAUUAUUGGGCGUAAAGCGCGCGUAGGCGGUUUUUUAAGUCUGAUGUGAAAGCCCACGGCUCAACCGUGGAGGGUCAUUGGAAACUGGAAAACUUGAGUGCAGAAGAGGAAAGUGGAAUUCCAUGUGUAGCGGUGAAAUGCGCAGAGAUAUGGAGGAACACCAGUGGCGAAGGCGACUUUCUGGUCUGUAACUGACGCUGAUGUGCGAAAGCGUGGGGAUCAAACAGGAUUAGAUACCCUGGUAGUCCACGCCGUAAACGAUGAGUGCUAAGUGUUAGGGGGUUUCCGCCCCUUAGUGCUGCAGCUAACGCAUUAAGCACUCCGCCUGGGGAGUACGACC
rnacentral:rRNA from 1 species